GUGCUCACUUUGGCAGCACAUAUAGUAAAAUUGGAACAGUACAGGGAGGAUUAGCAUGGCCCCUGCGCAAGGAUGACAUGUAAAUUCAUGAAGCGUUCCCUUUAAAA
rnacentral:snRNA from 1 species